rnacentral:rRNA from 1 species
GCUUACGGCCACACUCCCUGAGCACGCCUGAUCUCGUCUGAUCUCGGAAGCUAAGCAGGGUCGGGGCCGGUUAGUAUUGGAUGGGAGACGCCUGGGAAUACCAGGUGCUGUAAGCC